ACUAAUCAUCCUGUGGAGAAAUGUUUUCUCCUACAUGGUUUUCCUCCAGGUUUUGGCAAAGGCAGAGGAAAGGCACCUCAAGCUACUGCUCAUUCUGGAAAUGCAACCUCUAAUCAACAUAAAUCUGUUAAUUUUGUGGAGGAGACAGUAUCUGCUUCUCCUUUGCCCUUGUCUUCAUCUACUGCAUCUGCUGUUGUGAAUCUCCCAAGUAUUGAUCAAUAUCAACAGCUUAUCAGUCUUUUGCAGAGCCAACACCUCCAUAACUCCACUUCUUUGGCUAGCAACUCCACCUCUGUCAGUCACUCUCAGCCAUUAAACAAUUUUUCUGCUAAUGCAUCUGUCAACCUCCCAAAUGGCCAUACUGCUCCUGUUACUCACCUAGGAAGCUAUACUGGGGACUGUGAUUUGGAGGGGUAACCGUGUUGGCAA